AGUGAACGCUGGCGGUAGGCCUAACACAUGCAAGUCGAACGGCAGCACAGUAAGAGCUUGCUCUUACGGGUGGCGAGUGGCGGACGGGUGAGGAAUACAUCGGAAUCUACUUUUUCGUGGGGGAUAACGUAGGGAAACUUACGCUAAUACCGCAUACGACCUACGGGUGAAAGCAGGGGAUCUUCGGACCUUGCGCGAUUGAAUGAGCCGAUGUCGGAUUAGCUAGUUGGCGGGGUAAAGGCCCACCAAGGCGACGAUCCGUAGCUGGUCUGAGAGGAUGAUCAGCCACACUGGAACUGAGACACGGUCCAGACUCCUACGGGAGGCAGCAGUGGGGAAUAUUGGACAAUGGGCGCAAGCCUGAUCCAGCCAUACCGCGUGGGUGAAGAAGGCCUUCGGGUUAUAAAGCCCUUUUGUUGGGAAAGAAAAGCAGCAGGUUAAUACCCCGCUGUUCUGACGGUACCCAAAGAAUAAGCACCGGCUAACUUCGU
rnacentral:rRNA from 1 species